GAACGGAGCUUCCGGCAUCAUCGGGCUCGGCAGGGGCACCCUGUCACUCGUCUCCCAGCUCGGCGACACCAAGUUCUCCUACUGCCUCACGCCCUACUUCAGCGACGCCGUCAACACGAGCCACCUGUUCGUCGGCGCGUCCGCCGACCUGAGCGGCGGCGGCGCGCCGGUGACGUCCGUGCCGUUCGUCAAGAACCCGAACGACGACCUGUACGACACGUUCUACUUCCUGCCCCUCGCCGGGAUCACGGUGGGGGAGGCCAAGCUCGACGUCCCCGCGGCGGCGUUCGACCUCCGGGAGGUCGCGCCGGGGCGGUGGGCCGGCACGUUAAUCGACUCCGGCGCCCCGUUCACGAGGCUCGUCGACGUGGCGUACCAGGCGCUGAGGGCGGAGCUGGCGCGGCAGCUGGGCGACAGCGUCGUGCCACUGCCGGCCGGGGUAGAAGGGUUCGACCUGUGCGUGGCCGUGGCGCAGGGGGACGCCAGCAAGCUGGUGCCGCCGCUGGUGCUGCACUUUGGAAGCGGCGGCGGCGCUUCGUCGGACCUGGUGGUGCCGCCGGAGAACUACUGGGGGCCCGUGGACGAGGCCACGGCGUGCAUGGUGGUGUUCAGCGCGGCGCGGCCGAACGCGACGCUGCCGAUGAACGAGACGACCGUCAUCGGCAACUACAUGCAUCAGAACAUGCACCUGCUGUACGACAUGGGCAACGGCGUCCUCUCCUUCCAGCCGGCGGACUGCAGCUCCGUGUGAUGAUUUGUUCACUGUGGGCACGCCAUAUGGAGGCAUGAUAACCAAUGGCUGCAAUUUGCGUCUCUUCAUGUAUGUAUACAUAUACAUAUUUGUUUUGUAACGAAAACCUACAGUGAAAAAGCUUUAUUUAAUUUGCAUUUGACUAUUUGUUUUACAAACAACAAAAUAUGUAUUUUUUCCGAAAAAUUGUAAUAAAUUAAAUUGAUAUUAAAACUUUUUUAUACUCACGUACACGCACACACAUACCCUACAAGUAUAUCCGAGACACUAGAGGAGCUACGUUGGGGCGGCCGUGGCCCCCCUAGCAAUUUUCAAAGAAAGCACACGCCUCACUAUUUAAAAACGCGGCAUUAGUCCCGGUUAGUAAGGUUAAAAAUCCGAAAAUCCAUUCGGGAUUAAAUUUUCGAGAGAAAAGGGGUUCUUUAGUACCGGGUCAUUCACCCGGGACUAAAGACCCCAUUUAGUCCCAGUUGGUGUUACCAACCAGGACUAAAAGGUUUCCAGAAAAAAAUAAAAAAAGCCACCGCGCCCACGCCUGCUGGCCGGCCGCCCGCCCGCCCGUCCACCCGCCUCCGCCCGCCGCCGCUCGGCUGGCCGCGCCACGGCCCUGCCCUCACCCUGAUGCCGCUCCUCACUGCUAGUGAGGGGCGAGCAUAGGGGGAAGGGGAGGGGCAGCAGAGGGGAGGAGGCGGCGGCGGGAGGAGGGAGAAGAUAAGGAAGGAAGAAGGUGGAAGAUAAGGAAGGAAGAAGGUGGAAGAUAAGGAAGGUGGAAGGUGCCUGGAAAAAAUAAGGAAGGUGGGAGGGGGGCCGCGUGUGGAAACCCCUUUUGUCGUGGUUGGAAUUUCCAACCGGGACUAAAUCUUCUGUCCCGGUUGGAAUUACCAACCGGGAUAAAGGGGUGGGGGAGGGGGUUUGUCCCGGUUGGAAUUUUCAACCGGGACAAAGGGGGGCGGUGCCAGUUUUUUUAGCCGUUACAACUGGGACUAAAGGGGCCCUUUAGUUCCGGUUGGUCCUCCCGUCAGUGACCUUUGGUACCUUAUUUUUAACCUGGGACUAAAGACGCUUUAGUCCCGAGUCCAAAGUCAACUGGGACUAAAGGGAUUGAAUGUAAGGUCAGUUCUCCGGUAGGACCUCCAUAGCUGCAUGCAUGCCUAAACUAGAGAGCACAUCCGUUGUUGUGCAUGGCCACGUGCAUAAAUGCAUUCUCUCUCCUACAAACCAUGCAUUCUUCCAUUCCUUAGCUGUAUUGAUAGGUACCUCGGCUACUAUAUUAUACUUAUUCAUUGCAUUUUUGGGAUUCUUUUGUUGUUGUGGAAUCUGAGAGGUCAUACACCAGGUGUAUUUAGUUUAGAAUAUGUCUAACCCACCUCCAACUAGCAUUAGAUACACAUGGAUCAUCUGAACUAUUCUUAAAAUUUGCAUAUUUACCGUCUCCUUCAAGGACAACGCACAAUGCGUGCAGUGUGGUAAUAGUUAGCAGGAGCACAUGCAGGCAUGCAACUCGAUCCCUUCUUAAGCUGCUCCUGUCUUAGUAUUGUGGUUAUGUCACUCAUCUAAUGAGUAGUAGAUCACAAAUUCAUAAAAAGUAUAUAUGCAUAUGCCGGUGUGCCUAUCGUCUACACACAAUCCAUAUGACCAGCUUUGGAACUACAACGUGCCAUUGCAUAUAAUUGUAGAUUAGUCAUUAGCCUGGAAUUGGCCCCCCUUGAUUUCACUCCUAGCUCCGCCACUGAUCCGAGAGAUUAAUCCGGCAUAUCUUGAGAUUAAAAAAGUGGCAAGCAGCUCACUGUUGUCAAUUACGUCAUCUACCAACAAAAUAAUAGCGGGAGUUGAGAAUUCAAACCUGGUUGACAUGCUUCACCUCAAAAGAUUCUAAUUAACCAAGAGCUUAAUAUAUACCAUCCCAAAAAACAUGUCAUUUAGAUUCAAAAUUUAUCAAAAAACUAUGUCGUUUUACUCUAUAUAGUAUUUGCAAGUGCAUGUGGCUUUUAAUUAAUACUAAAUAUGGCCAACAAACACUCCUUCCAUCCUCUAAUAUAUAACGUUGAUUAGUUUAAAAAUGAGCUAACCAACAUCAUAUAAUAGAGAACAUCAUAUAAUAGAGAACGUAGGAGCAAACAAGAUCAUUUUAUUUUUUUAUUAAUUUAUCCUAUAAUGUGUAAAAUGAUUUGUUUUUGGGACGGAGGGAGUAUACGAGUCUAUAUGGUUUUGUUAAUCUUCACUUGCCCUCCGUCGUCGGCUCGGCCUCCCCGUCACCGCUGCCUGUGAGAAGGAAAAAGAAAGAAAAACCUUCCCAACUGUCACGCUGACAUGCUGUGAUGCGAGCAAGAUGAUUCCCUGACGCGUUGAAACUACAACUAAUAGCUUUAGUUUUAUGGCUGCGCCCGGUCUUAAUCACAAGAUACAGAGCGUUUCAAUUGCAAUGCUGGUGAUGAGCAACGCCGCCAAUCAGCAGUUCUUUUUUUGGCAAACUCCGCCGACCAGCAGUUAAGCGCUCCUCCUCAACUCACCUUACAAGUAACAACUCACCUUACUUGAAUCAAUGGCUCUAGGAUAUCAGUUCAUCAGUCAUGUCGUGCCCGACUUAUUAGCUUGAUUUUUCAGGAAUCUCAGCUUGAUUAUUCGCCCCACGGUCGCUAUGGGCUCAUAGAGGUUGCUUGUUUAAUUUAAGAUGCUUUGGCUAAUGGCUAGGAAAAGAAUUAAUUUCUAUUCUCUAGGGUAUAAUAUAUCAUCAUCAGAUCAGUUGUUUGUUUUAUGUAACCAGCAAUUAAUGUGCUAUUGUACCCGCAAAAAAAUUAAUGAGCUAUUGUAAUUUCUUUUUGCAGCGUGUAGGUAUAAUGUCAGUAAGCGAUAAUACCUUGAGAAAAAACUCUUUUUUUAAUGAUCCUGCUAUCAACUAUAUUUUUUCUGCGGUAACUAUUUGUUAUUCACCUUUAGAAAAAAGUACAGUAUGUGAACAGGAACAAACAUGGUUGAAGCAAUCUAUUUCAUUUUUAUUCGAUUAUACAUACUUUCUCAAGAAAAAAUUAUAUACAUAGAGUUCUGUCUUGGAGGGUAAUCUGAUAUUGUAUUUUUAUAACUCGGAUGAUUGAACUGUUGAUUCUAAUCAAAACAUCAUCAUCGAUAGCUGAAAUCGUACAAUCGUUUACAUUGAAGGAAUUGGAGGGGAUGAUAAGUUUGAUGAUGCUAUCAAGUCCAAUGAUCUUUUGAACUUUCCAAAUUCAAGAUUGCAUUUUCCUUUUGAAUUGACAAACAUUUAUCCUGCCUUCUUUAAAAUCACAAUUCACAAAACAUACGUUGGCACUUCCGCCAUGUUGUAUUAAUUGUGAUCCGUUCUUUUACAGAGCUUACAUAUGUAUGUAUACGUUGUCAUGGUGUAUGUCUUCUUCAAGAGAUUUACUUAUAGAUGGCCAAGCAGGCGGCCCAACCCGGCCUAGCACGAGCCCGAUUAGGCCCGGCCUGUUUAGACCUGCACAGUAAUCGUGCCGGUCGGCCCACGUGCUGAAGGAGUGGCCCAGGCUCGGCCUGCUGCCUUCUUAGGCAGGUCGUGCUGGCCCGCUGGCCUAGUAGGCCUUAAUAGGCUCGCCGUGCCCAUGCCGGCCCGUGGCAUGGCUCUGGCUCUCUUUUCCUUGCUGUCGCAGUCGUGGAGGGCCACAGUCCCNNNNNNNNNNNNNNNNNNNNNNNNNNNNNNNNNNNNNNNNNNNNNNNNNNNNNNNNNNNNNNNNNNNNNNNNNNNNNNNNNNNNNNNNNNNNNNNNNNNNCGAUAUUCAUCGGCGCCAAGACUGUAGUAGGGUUACGGCCAACCAUUUAUCCGAGAUUUCAGCUGGGCUGAGGCGGGUCGUGCCACCGUUUAUGGCCCACGAGCCAAAUGGGCUAGGCCGUGCCGGGCCAGCCCAUCGGCUGAGGUAGCAGUCCAGGCCCGACCCGUGGUGUAGGCUGGGCCGGCUCGGCCUACAAAGCUGUCGUGCUUGGACGGGUCAAAAUGUCGUGUCGUGGGCCAGCCAACAGGCCGCGGGCCAAAUGGCCAUAUAUAGGUUUACUCCUCAGGCGACUGAGGAUUUGUUUAUGCAUCAGUCGACGCUGUGAACCGUCCGAUCGGAGCUGAACGUGUGAGAUUGUAAUCGGCCGCCGCCUGUGUCAGUUGUUUGUGCCCUUUGUAGUCGGUGUUAAAAUGUUAUCGGGUUUGGGCUGAAUGGUUGAUACUCCACUCGCUGUCUCCCUCCCUGUCAUUUCUUGACUGAGCUGUGCGGAGGCGAAACGGGCGGAGACGGUGAGGCCUGGGAUUCGGCGGCUUGUCUGCCUCGAUAACGACGGUAGGUUUCCGGCGAGGUCUUCUCGAGGUUGGUCUCUUCUUCUCUCCGUCUUUCCUUUCUCGGUUCUGUUGUUUGAUGCGAGGGGAGGCGCAGAAGUCGGCUGUUGAGAUCUCCCCGUCAUCGCCUAACCACUGUCCUGCCUCUCCCAAAUGCUGACCAGGCCUGUAGCCGCCUGGGGAAUUAUAACGUUGUGUUCGAUUUGUGCCAGUAAAGGUCCAUGUGUGCUGUGUUCAUCGAUUUUUUAUGAUUUAUCAUUCAUGUGUAUGUCUUGUGUGCAGUCAACUGGGAGAUGUGUUGGGGACUUGGGGUCUUCAGGUGUGCCAGAUCCGCACCAGGUAUUCUAUGGAAUCCCCAUUCGUUUUCUGUCAUUGAUUUUUGUUAUUCACAUUUGAUUUAAUCACAUUUGAUUUAGCUUCAAUCAGUUUGGACUUCGUGAUUCUGUGUUGUAAUGUUUUGAUUUAGGCAUAUAAGGUUUCCUCGUGGGCUAUGUUGUGUCUGACAGUUAGCCUUAUUAGGGUUUAGUUUGGGGAAUCAUAGUCUCCUAUUGUCUGAUAUGUUCUCAAUUAUGAUUCAGUUUUUGUUAUUUGUGGUAUACUAUUUUCCAAUUUUGAGCUCAAUUUGGAUAUUGAUCUGAUAAUGGCUAAUUUGUUGCCUCUAAGGGUUCUGACUUUUGACUUGGGGAUAUAUGCUCUGUUAAUUACAGGUUAGAGCUCUAUUAGGUCCCCAUUAGCUUCACAUUUGUGGUCAAUGUACCUUUCUGUGUUGUGACAUCCAGAGCGCACUACAAGAAUUUGUGUUCAAUGUACCUGUUUGUUUGAAAUUCCCCCUCGUGAGAUCGCCCCUUUUCCAGUUCACCUUCUUGGUGAGAUCAUCAACCUAUCUUUUCUGUCCUUUCUCAUUUCGGAUUUGAUUGGUUCUUCUCAAUUUAGUCAUGCCUUUUGCUUUUGUUGUCCCCUGCUGUUUGGAGUUCACUGAUGUCAUGUUUUCUGCUUCCCAUUUGUGUUCUGUUUUUUUUCUUUUCCAUCUGUCCAUUGCUGUCACCUGCAUCUCCUUGCAGAACUGUGAUUAGAACUAGGAUAAUUUAGGGAUUACAUUCUUUUUAUGGCCAAAAUGAUUUUAAGGUUGCUUUGUCUUCUUUUUAUUCUCUUGCUAUCUUGUACAUGUCUUGCGAAUCAGGUGCUUUAAAUGUUUUUCCAUUUAUGUUUUAAAUAUGUAAGUGGAGAUGAGUAUGAUCCUUUGGAUUUUGCCUUCAUCAUGGCUAAGGGUGGACACGAGCUUCACUUGAAUAGCAGGAUAGCAGCACGGAUACCCUUCUUUCCAUGGGAAGUCUGUAGGCCAGCCACAUGGUCCCUACAUUCCUUUUCAGAGCCGUAGCCUUACUCCUCUUCCAUUAUUUUUUCUAAAUCACAAAGUUACUGGCUUAUUUUUGUUUUUUUUUUUGUCUGGAGAAAAAAGAGCUUUGGUGUUCUAGAAAAUAGGGCAGAGAGGAAGGGAUGGGCUGUGGCAGAUGGCAAUUGUGGAGCUGCUGGAAACAGGUAUAUGCAGUCAUAUAACAUGCCUUGAUAGCAGGUAUAAAAUUUGAUGGUUUUUCCUUGUAAUUUUAUAGUAUUGCCAUGGUUUGGCAUAAUGAAGAACUCUGAACUUCCAUUUUAGGGUCUGCUGAUCUAUCAUCUAGAACUGCAUCUAGUUUGUUAAAGUCUGCAACAAUAAUGAGGGUGCUUUCCAUCUCUGUGAGGAGUGCUUCGACUUCGGUAUGUAGGAAAAAUUGAUUUCGUCAAUAUUGGAAAAUAGUUGCAAUAUCAACUGGUAUAUUUCAAGUGCAAUGUGUUUCCCUUUCAAUGGUAUCUAGAGUAAUUUCUACCAACAAGACUGAACUAUGUAUUAUCUACCACUUUUUAUCAGGUUUUGAUUGUCAAGUACUGUUUUCUUGCUUUAUUGUUCAGGGUCGACAGAAGCCCGCUAUAUGUACACAUAUGAUCCUGGGUGUUUUUCCAUCUCCGGGACUAUACUAUCUUUUUAUAAUAUCAGUUGUACACUAAGUACAAGAAUAAAGAUGAUGAAAUAUUAAUAAUAAAUAAUUUGGACUAGGAUUACACCAUGGCAUAGCAUCAUAAUUUUGGUGCAUUUUGUUAUUUUUUCUGUAUUGUGCAUGACCUAUGUUUUUCUGCCAAAACUGCAGGUAUAAUGUGUUUACUGUUCCUUCCAGCUUGCUUGUCUAGUGUAUAUACAUGGGAUGGCAUGUCUUUGUUCAUUUGUGUUGUCAGAGGUUUCAGUCACCUUUUCUUAUGUUUACGAGCUGUAAUUCAAGUCCAAACUAUCCUACUCCCAUAAAAAUUUAGGAGUUGACCACAAAUCUGCUAUAUGUAACUGUGUAAAACCAGGCCAGCUUGCCAAGAAAUUCAUAGUAUUCUAAGCUUAUGGGUUCACAAUGUUCUGCACUAGUCUUGAAUUUACUUUUGGUAGAAACUGACAUGGUAAAUCAAGUAUUAAGUUAUCUACUUGCAGUACAUUGAUUGAUCUAGAUUAUGUGUCAUAGUAAAAGAAUGGAGCUAAUAAUAUAUGAGCUGAAGAUUGUAUCGAUUUUAAUAUGAAAUUGCAAACAAUUACACCAUGAUGUACCAUCCUAAGUUUUCUGUUAUGUUAAUAUAAAUUUGUAAUUGUGCAUCAGUGUGACAGUUAAGACUUAAGGGGCUAGAGUUACACGGCUUGCUGAUUGCAUUCUGUUUGUGGUGAACUCAUCACCAUGGUCAAUAUUUUAUUGUCUAGGUUAGAACAAAAUUGUGGCUAUUAUAUUCAUAUUUCACUUCAUUUUCCUAUAGGAUUCUUCAUCAUUUUAAUAUUUUCUUAUACCUUUCUUUUAUGAACUGAGUGAGGCCUAGUGUAAGGUGUUGACAUGAACUGGGUUGUGCUGUGUUUUUUUCCAAUUAUGAUCUAGGUCAAGUCAAAUCUUUUGACUUAGAUAUGUUCAUUCACAUGUUAACUGAAGCUAAAUUAACUGGCAGUUCAGUAAUUGAGAUCAAUGCUAUUAAUAAUAGGUUUAGAACACAAUGAUCAGAUCUAAUGUUUUUGCAGCUUGCUACUGUUCAGUAUUAAGUUAUCUCAAAUACAGUUAACUAAUUGAGAUCAAUGCAGUACUCUUAUCCUUAAUUUUUUGAGUUGCAGGCUUUCACACAGAUAAGACUUGAUCGUUGAACUUGUGCUUCACCAAUUUGAUCAUGUGGUUCUCACUGAUAUAGGUAUAUGAAGUUGCCCAACAAGCACACAUGAAUACAUGAUUUUUGUCUGUUUGUUGCCUUCAACCAGUAGCUUUAAAGUUUAGUCCAAAACUCAAAACAGAUCUACAUUUCACAUAUGUAGGUCAUGUUUUGCGUACAACUUGGGCAAAAAUUUACUAUUUUUUAUGUUACAUUUGUCAAAAACAUAGUAAUUAUUUUAAUGUUUUUAAGAUGUUCAUGUUCCUGUAAUUUUUACGUUUGCACGAAUGUAAAAUUCUGUGUUGAAUUUGCUGUAAUAACUCAAAUCAGUUUGAUUUUGUGCACGCGUGUUCAAUUGUAUCUACUGUGAGCAACGGUUACAGGCCAAAAAUGAAGCUGCCCAAUCUAUUCAAUUGAAAGCUGGCUGUGUUGUUUUUCUUUUGGGUGAGUAAGUGGGCUGUGUUGUUCCCUAUAGAUGGGCUAUAUUAUUGUGAAAAUUUACCGAUCCUACAAUUUUCUGGACUGGAUUUGAUCAGCCCAGCAACGUAUAGCGUUGAAGGGCCCGCAACACAGCUAGUGGAUCUGUUAACGGGGUGUCUGGUGGGAUUUGUACAGGUUUGAUCAGGUAGCGUUAGAUGUGUAUCGAACGGCUAGGACUGGUGACUGACGGAUAAGCAAUCCGUCAGUCACCUGACGCGGAGACAGACCCCUUCUUCAAUCCUUGUCGACUUUGCCCCUGGAUUUCAGUACAAGGAUUGUUGUGUGGCUGCUUGGCAUUGCCCUAUCCACCCGAGGGCAAGUGGGCAACAUGAUAGAGAUCACUACUAGAUGCCCUAUCCACCCGAGGGUAACACGAAUACGACAGAGAGCUGAAAGAGCCUGGAAGAUCUUAUAAUGGAAUUCAUCAUACAUGGUAAGAUUAAAAUGGGGACGCCAUUGCUCUGGCUCGUGCUCUUCUCCUCCUCCCUGACCUUCACCACCUGUGCCGGCCUCCGCCUCGAGCUCACCCACCUCGAUGCCAACUGCACCGUCGAGGAGCGCAUGCGCCGUGCCAUGGCGCGGACCCGCCAUCAGCUGGCGUGGACGGACGCGGUGUCCGCACCCGUUCACUGGGUGAGGUCGCAGUACAUCGCCGAGUAUCCCAUCGGCGACCCGCCGCAGCAGGCCGAGGCCAUCAUCGACACCGGCAGCAACCUCAUGUGGACGCAGUGCUCCGGCUGCCGCUCAUCAUCUACUAGUUGCUUCAGCCAAGGCCUCUCCAUCUACGACCCCUCCCAGUCGCGCACGGCCCAUCAGCCCGUGGCCUGCGGCGACGCGGCGUGCUCCCUCGGCUCCGAGACGCGGUGCGCGGGUGAUGGCCAGGCGUGCGGUGUCUUCACCUCCUACGGCGCCGGCACCAUCACCGGGCUCCUCCGCACCGAGGAGUUCACGUUCGGGUCGGAGAAGGUGACCCUCGACUUCGGGUGCAUCACCGCGACGAGGAUCACGCCGGGCUCCCUGGACGGCGCGUCCGGGAUCAUCGGGCUCGGCAGGGGCGGGCUGUCGCUCGUCUCCCAGCUCCGCGACACCACGUUCUCCUGACGCCCUACUCAACCGACACCGUCGACCAGAGCCACCUCUUCGUCGGCUCGUCGGCCGGCCCGAGCCCCGGGAACAACGCGCCGGUGACGUCCGUGCCGUUCGUCGAGAGCCCCAACGGGGACCCCUUCAGCACGAGCACGUUCUACUACCUGCCCCUCACCGGCAUCACCGUCGGCGGGACCUCGCUCGACGUCCCCGCGGCGGCGUUCGGCCUCCGGCAGGUCUCGUCGGGGGACUGGGCGGUGACGCUGAUCGACUCGGGCUCCCCGUUCACGAGGGUCGUCGACGUGGCGUACCAGGCGCUGAGGGACGAGCUGGCGUGGCAGCUGGGCGCCAGCCUCGUGCCGCCGCCGGUCGGGAUGAGAGGGUUGGACUUGUGCGUGGCGCGGGGAGACGCCGGCAAGCUGGUGCCGCCGCUGGUGCUGCGCUUCGGGAGCGGCGGCGGCGGCGGCGGGGAUUUGGUGGUGCCGCCGGAGAAUUACUGGGGGGGCCUGGACGACGCCACGGCGUGCAUGAUGGUGUUCAGCUCGUCGGAUGAGACGACCAUCAUCGGCAACUACAUGCAGCAGGACGUGCACCUGCUCUACGACCUCGGCAAUGGCGUGCUCUCCUUCCAGACGGUGGACUGCAGCUCCAUGUGAUGAUUUGUAUGGUCACGGCAGCCGGCCAUACGUAGAGAGAGUACACCUGCUUGUAUGUGUGCACAUUGCACACCAUAUGCACGUCACCACGUCUACUAAAAAAACAUGUCCGUGCAUCGCAACGAAAAAAAACCCCCCUCAUAUACCCCCUUCCUAAUAAACAUGCAUUGUCAAGGACUCAAGUGAUGAGUUGAUUUAUGAUCCACGUCAAUUAUUUACAAAAUGUGCUUCAAAUUCAUGCGCAAGCUGCGCUUAUUUAUUUUAGAUAGACAAGAGUAAAAAGGGGAAAAAAUUGAAGUCAAGGUUGUUGUGCCAUGUUCAAAAUUUCAGCCGAAAUGAAAUUUUGGUCUUUCCGGUGAUGAUCAAAAUUACUUUUUGCCCGAACUUCGCUCUCUUCAUCGAAAAAUGCACUUUUAGUCCAAAUUUUGGCCUAAAUUUCGCAAAAUUCAGUAUUUUUUAUGGGAACAGAAAAAUUGAAAAAAACAAAAUCCCAAUCCGUUGGGACAGAGAUCCUAGAUGUAUCAUUUUUCAAUAUCGGACAUAAGAUCGUACCAUAGAAUCAUAACUCGAAUAUAUAUACUUAGAUAAAAUCAAAACAAUGACAAUUAGUGUAUUCUCGAUCUCACACAACUCUUUAGAGUCUAGAGAAACCUUUCAAUUUGAAUAUGAUGAGAUAUACAAAGGGUUAUUCAUGGCGAUGGGAAUUAUUAGUUGGAGAGUUGCUUUGCAAUCGCACAACAUACUUUUUCGCAGAUUCUCUUUGGAUGUUUUUACUCAAAUGUCAAUUUAAAUUUUCUAGAUACAUAGUUUCAUAACAUAUACCUUUGGAUUAAAAAAGUCAAAAUAACUUAUAAUUUAGAAUGGAAGGAAAGGAUAAAAGAAAAACACUUGAUUCGCACAUGGCAGCCACAAGGCAAAGGUUACAAACAUGGAGCUGAGCGUGACGGCACUCACGCUGACAAGGAGCCCGCUGUGCUACACAGCCUACAGAAAUUGCAACUCCACAGCCAAUGGUUUCGUAGAGGUAAACUACUCCUCGGUGAAUGGUGAGGCAGCUGAGAUGUUUCCCUCCAGCUUCACACGCCAGACGCCCAGACGCGGCUUUGACCCUGCAGAUGAAGCUCCGGGCAUUGCGCGUCUUUCGAAAUGUGUCAUACUGUCAAGGAGAACAAGGUACGGUACGUGACGAGCACUGAGCUUUCUCUUGUAUUUUCUCAGAAGCUGCCUGACACGAAACCACCAGUCCUGCAGGCUCUGGAAACUUGAAAUUAAGAUCCAACCUCUUGUAUCUAAAGUCGGUCCUAGCAUUCACCUUGACGUGCGACUGUUUGCGUCACACGUUCAAAGCUUGGCUAGUACUAAUGCAUAGAAGAAGCUAAACAACAUAUAAUGUGUCUACCUGACUUGAUAUGUGUCAAAAAAUAAGAGAAUUGUCCACAUUUCACAUUUUGGUUCUGACUGGCUGUUAAAUUAAUAAUAGCUUAAUAUGAUAUCAAAGCCAAAGUUUCAGUCAUAUCUGGUAAAACUUAAUAAAAUAUUGGCAGCCUACUAAUUAAUGUUUCUGAACCCGAGGCUUAAAAAAGCCUACAAUUGAUAAGCUUAAGCUUUUGUGGCAUAGUAGUUCAAUACCAUGAGCAACUCUCAAGAUUUGUGAUGAUUCGUGUGCACGAACCUAGCUCAUAAGUUAUUUUUUUGCUUGCCAUGUCAUUUAAUCAUCAAAGAAAAGGAAAAAAACAAAACUCAAUCAAGGACAAAUUUGCAGCCAUGUAAUAAUUUUGAAUGGACAUCAACCAUUUUUUUUUUGGGAAAUCUGAUUAUGUUGAAAUUUGGAGGGUAAGUCUGUGGAUUUUCCAUGGACUUGGCAAAGGAUUGUGACGCAUAGACUUAGAAGGUCAAGUCAAUAUAUAAAUGCUACCUACACCUUGAUAGAAAUGGCCAAUUGCAUUAUUUUCAUGUGUAAUUAUACUAAAUCUAAUAAAGCAUGUAAAUGGACUUUUAUAUAUAGAUAUUGCUAAAUAUGAAUUUCAAUUCAACGACAAAAUAAUUAAUAAUAAGGAAAAAGUAUAAAUCACUCCGUUGGGAAAAGGAAUCCGUUUGGUACCCUCUCCCUUAUUUUGAGACUUCACGAUUAGCUAACUAAAUAAGUUGGAGGCGAAUUGUUGUGAUUUUUCAAAUUCAACAACAAAAGCAUUAAUAAUAAGGAAAAAGUCUAAAUCACUCCCCUCAAGUAUAGCCAAAGACUGAAUAACCCCCUAAAGUAUUUCUUGGUCAGUUUUCCCCCUAAAUUAUGCAAUUUGGUUCAAUUUACCCCCUUUAUCUUUUUUUUCCAUGCACAAGUGGAGUCUUAAGUUAAAAUUUUGCAAGAUAAUAGCAGAUAUCAUAAGAUGUGUGAAAAAAAUAUAUCAUGAUUUGUUUAUCAUUAUUUUGACAAGGUAGGAUGUUUAAUAAUAGAUUUUUCUUUAGUAUACAAAAUUAUAUGAAAAAUAAUGAUAAAAAAUUUAUAAUAUAUUUUUUAAAUGUAGAUCUGAUGUCCAGUAUCACCCUGCAGAAUCUCAAAUUAAAAUUCAACUUGUGUAUGGAGGUGGAGGAAUAAAAGGAACAAAUUAUAUUAUGAGGUAAGUUGAACCAAAUAGUAUAGUUUAGGGGGUAAAUUGAACCAAAAGAUAGUUUAGGGGUAAUUUGGAGGUUCGCUAUAUUUGAGGGAAGUAAUUUGGAUUUUUUUCCUAAUAAUAUUGAAAUAAAUCUAAGUAGGCAUGACUCUUAAAAACAUGGCAUCUGAAUUGUUCAGUUAAAAACUUUUAGCCAUGUAGCUCACCUGAGGUCAGGCGAACAUGGUUCAUUCUAAAAGAGAUGCGUGACUUAAUCUGCAUGAUACAAUCAACUUCACUGACGAUCAUGUAAUUAUUAAUAUGACAAAAUAUUUCAUUAAUCCUGUAAAAUCUUGUGUUGAUCUAAUACAUUUUUUUUAAAAAAAAAUCAAAUUUACCGAGCAAUCUGUAAUUAAUGCAUACACUUUCAGUUGCAGUGAUGUCCUCAAUUGGACAUUUUGUCAAGCAAUCUUUAUGUAUUCAUUAAUUCCUCACUCAUCACGAUGUUAUAAAUACACUUAACCUCCGUGUACAUCUCAUAAUGCACGCACUGGCACUCUCACACACACAAGUAAGGGCGGAGCUUAGUGAGGACUAACAGGGGCCAUUCAUCUUCUAUCUCUAACCUCGAUCUACUUUCAAGCUUCAAUGUAUGUAAAUUUAUAGGAGAGGCUCCAUGACUCUAGCAACAGUAGGAGGAGCUUGAGCCCCAUUCACCCUGGUGCUAGAUCCUCCCCUAAUUAAAGAUUAGGUAUGAAAAUGGCGAUCCCUGUUUUGAGUAGUUCCUAAUCUUUGAGGUGCCGGCCCCUCCUCAACGUCGGAUCAAGCUCCACGACUGCACACCACGCCAAAGAGUUCAAGUAUGAUAAAAAUGGCGAGACGACCUUUGCUCUAGCUCGCGCCCUCUUGUGGGCCCCUAAUAAUAGCUUAAUAUGAUAUCAAAGCCAAAGUUUCAGUCAUAUCUGAUAAUUCUUAAUAAACAAUUGCAAUGAAGCCUACUAAAGUUUUCUGUAUCCGAGAAAGCCUACGAUAGGGGGAGCGCCAUACCAUAAAUGAUUUUUCUCAUAUUUUUUCAUAAGCUUAUUAAGUUUUUCGGGCAUAGUAGUUCAAUACCAUGAGGAACUCUCAUAAGUUAUUGUUUUACUUGCCAUGCCAUUUAAUCAUCAAAGAAAAGUAAAAAAACUAAAAAUCAAGGAAAAUUUUGCAUCCAUGUAAUAAUUUUGGAUGGACAUCAACAAUUUUUUCUAGGAAAUCUGAUUAUGUUGAAAUUUGGAGGAUGAGUCUGUGGAUUUCCAUGGACUUGGCAAAGGAUUGUGACACGUAGACUUAGAAGGUCAAGUCAAUUGCCUCCAAAAUGCUACCUACACCUUGAUAGCAAUAGACAAUUACAUAAUUUUCAUUAGUAAUUACUAAACCUGACUAAGCAUGGAAAACGGCCUUUUUUAUAUAUAGAUAUUGCUAAAUAUGAUUUUCAUUUAAAGAAUAAAGCAUUAAUAUCAAAUACGAAUCUAAGUUGGCAUGACUCUUAAAAACAUGACAUGCGAAUUGUUCAGUUAAAAACUUUUAGCCAUGUAGCUCAACUGAGGUCAGGUGAACAUGGUUCAUUCCAAAAGAGAUGCAGUGAUACGAUCAACUUCACUGGCAAUCAUGUAAUAAUUAAUAUGGCAAAAAAUAUUUCAUUACCCCGUAAAAUCUUGUGUCGAUUAUUUUUUUAAAAAAUUAUAUUUACUGAGCAAUACCUUUGUUUCAAAUUGUAAGUCGACUUUUCUAGAUAAUAUAUAUAUCUAGUAAAAAUUAUGUAUGUAGAAAAGUUAAAACGGUCGACAAUUUGAAACGGAGGGAGUCCAAUGUCCAGUUACACUAAUUCGACAUUUUGUCGAUCUUUAUUUAUCAUCCAUUAAUUCCCCACUUAUCAGGAUGUGUUAUAAAUAUACGCUUAACCUCCCUCUACAUAUCACAAUGCACACGCUCACACACGAACACAAAACCCAAAAGAAUUCACGCUAGAUCAAAAUGGAGAGACCUUUGCUCUGGCUCGCGCUCUUGUGCGCCUCCCUGAUGCCGUUCCCCACAAACUGCGCCGGCAUCCACCUCGAGCUCACUCACGUCGACGCCAAGGAGAAGUGCACCAUCGAGGAGCGCUUGCGCCGCGCCACCGAGCGCACCCACCGCCGUCUGGCCUCCAUGAUGGGCGGGGUGACGGCGCCCGUCCACUGGGCUGGGGCGACGCAGUACAUCGCCGAGUACCUCAUCGGCGACCCGCCGCAGCGCGCCGAGGCCAUCAUCGACACUGGCAGCAACCUCGUCUGGACGCAGUGCUCUCUUUGCCGCCGCACCAGCUGCUUUCACCAGAACCUUCCUUACUAUGAUCCCUCCCAGUCGAGCAGCGUCCGUGCCGUGGCAUGCGAUGACUCCGCUUGCCACUUCGGCUCGGAGACCCAGUGCAACGGCAAGGCGUGCGCCGUCAACACCAGCUACGGCGCCGGCGACAUCUUGGGGCUCCUCGGCACCGAGACGUUCACGUUUGGGUCUGAGAACGUGAGCCUCGCGUUCGGGUGCAUCGACUCGAACGAGCUGACUCCAGGGUCCCUGAACAACGCGUCUGGUAUCAUCGGGCUCGGCCGGGGCAACCUGUCACUCGUCUCCCAGCUCGGCGACACCAAGUUCUCCUACUGCCUCACGCCCUACUUCAGCGAUGCCGUCAACACGAGCCACCUGUUCGUCGGCGCGUCCGCCGACCUGAGCGGCGGCGGCGCGCCGGUGACGUCCGUGCCGUUCGUCAAGAACCCGAACGACGACCUGUACGGCACGUUCUACUUCCUGCCCCUCGCCGGGAUCACGGUGGGGGAGGCCAAGCUCGACGUCCCCGCGGCGGCGUUCGACCUCCG
rnacentral:lncRNA from 1 species